rnacentral:rRNA from 1 species
AACGAACGCUGGCGGCGUGCUUAACACAUGCAAGUCGAACGGAAAGGCCCUGCUUUUUUGGGGUGCUCGAGUGGCGAACGGGUAAGUAACCCGUGAGUAACCUGCCCUUGACUUUGGGAUAACUUCAGGCAACUGGGGCUAAUACCGGCUAGGAGCUCCUGCUGCUUGGUGGGGGUUGGAAAGUUUCGGCGGUUGGGGAUGGACUCGCGGCGUAUCAGCUUGUUGGUUGGGUAGUGGCUUACCAAGGCUUUGACGGGUAGCCGGCCUGAGAGGGUAACCGGCCACAUUGGGAUGGAGAUACGGCCCAGACUCCUACGGGAGGCAGCAGUGGGGAAUAGUGCACAAUGGGCGGAAGCCUGAUGCAGCAACGCCGCGUGCGGGAUGACGGCCUUCGGGUUGUAAAGCGCUUUCGCCUGUGACGAAGCGUGAGUGACGGUAAUGGGUAAAGAAGCACCGGCUAACUACGUG